UAAACUUUUUUUUUAAAAAAAAAAAAAAAAAAAAAAACCUUUUUUUUUGAAACAGAAUUCAAAAAUUUAAAAAUUGGCUCCCACAGCACAGAUGUUGUAUUGUAUAUACUAUGUAGAGCUUAAGAAGUGGUUUUGGUUAAUGAAUUGGUUUGAAGAGAAAUUUGGAUUGGUUUAUUGUGGUUUGUAUUUCUUACCAUACCCAGCAUUCAACAAGUAGAAAAGAGAUUGGGAAUUCAAUUCAAUGGGGGUAGCUGCAUCUUCGUAAGUUCUUCAAUGCUAACUGCGAAUCUCUCUGCUCUCCAUUUUCAUUCAUGGAACCAAACCCUAAUACCCUUUCUUCAAGCUAUUAUUUUUCUCCUGAUUUCGUCAUCCAUUUGGCUCUAAGAUGCUGCUGAGAUCCGGCCAUGGACAGGGAGGUUGAGGUUGACCUUACACCCACAUUCGCACCCGCGAGGGAUCUCAACCGUCCGAUCAAUCCUGAUUCUACCUCCGCUUCCUCUUCAUCUUCUUCCCCUGGCUUACUUCGACAUUUUCAAGCCGCCUUCAAGCGACAUCGCCCUAUCGGUGUAAUGCAGUCGAAUAGCAUUGGGCCUAGGCGAAUGUUGGUUCCUCAACGAGCAGUGUCCGCAAAAUCAGCAUCGAUGAAAUCUAGAGAAGCAGUUUCUGUUAGUGAGGAUCAUAAAGAUUCAGUAAUGCAGAUGAAGGGAACCGCCACCAUUGGCAAAGAUGGUCAGGAAGAUGAAUUAACUACCCCACCUUCUAAUUCAGAGACUAUUACCAGAGCUUUUGAUGAAAACUUAAAUCCAUAUGACGGACAAGAUCAAAUCAAGUUCGUGACUGGUUGUAAGGACAACCCACAAUCACUGUCGCAUGUGAAAUCUUCGCAGUACAUUGAUGGUGGCCAGAAAAAGGUCCAAUUUUCAGAAGCAAGCAAGACCACUUUGCCGGAAGUGGAAUGUGUUGCAGGCAAUCAAGGCGAGGCGUCAACGGUCAUUAAUCAUGAGAUGAAGCACCAGAACACAGAAUGUGAUAUCACUGCGAGAUCUGAUGGUGGGAUUUCUUCCCUUUUGUCAAAGAGAACAACAGCUGUUCAGGAUCAGUUGCACCAUUUCAGAAACUUCUUUAGCCAACCUAACUCUCAAUCUUCAGUUGCAGGGCAAUCUUGUGGUGCCACAACCACAUCUGUCCAUUCAGCUUCAGCGCCAAUGGCUAAUCAGACAACCUUUUGCUCCCGUGUGCAUUGUGAUUCGCAACCCAUGGCCAUGGGGGAUUUGAAUUUAAAUUCUCUUCCUGUAACUCAAGGGAAAAAAAUGCAGCAAUCAAAUCCAUGUUUAAAGGACAAAAGUGGAGAAGUAAAUAAGCAGAUUGUUAAUGCAGCACAAUCUUCCACCUCCGCAAUUGAUACUCAAAUGGAGAGUAGUAAGGAAUAUGAGAUUUUUAAGGAAAGUGGCUUUGCUGGAGAUCCUGUUGGAGCAGCUGAAGGGAAACAAUUAGCUGCUGGUGCUAUUGAUCUUCAGUCUCAUAUUCCAUCAUCCAAAAACUUGUCUUCUAAAUCAGAUAAACAAGAAAGGGUUGCAGUUGCAGAGAGUGCUAAAGGUGCAUCAUCAGCUCAUCAUCGUAAAAGAAAUUAUGAUCCGGACUUGUUUUUUAAAGUUAAUGGGAAGCUCUAUCAAAGGCUUGGCAAGAUAGGUAGCGGAGGAAGUAGUGAGGUUCACAAAGUCAUCUCAUCAGACUGUACAAUAUACGCACUCAAAAAAAUCAAGCUCAAAGGACGUGAUUAUGCCACUGCUUUUGGAUUUUGUCAGGAAAUUGAGUAUUUAAAUAGGUUGAAAGGAAAGCACAAUAUUAUACAGCUCAUAGAUUUUGAGGUCACAGACAAAGCUUUGCUUCAGGAAGUCAUGAAUGGAUCAAUGAAUAACAAAGAUGGAAGAGUCAAGGACGAUGGUUAUAUAUACAUGGUACUUGAAUAUGGGGAGAUUGAUUUGGCUCACAUGCUUUCCCAGAAAUGGAAAGAACUCGAUGGCUUCACCAACCAGACCACCAUAGAUGAGAACUGGCUUCGAUUCUACUGGCAGCAAAUUCUUUUUGCAGUAAACACUAUACACGAGGAGCGUAUUGUUCACUCAGAUUUAAAGCCAGCUAAUUUCCUUCUGGUAAAAGGCUCCCUAAAGUUGAUUGACUUUGGCAUUGCCAAAGCCAUAAUGAGUGAUACCACAAAUAUUCAAAGGGAUUCACAGGUUGGUACAUUGAGCUACAUGUCUCCUGAAGCAUUUAUGUGCAAUGAGAGUGAUGCUAAUGGAAACCCAAUUAAGUGUGGUAGGCCAUCAGACAUAUGGUCCCUUGGUUGCAUCCUUUAUCAGAUGGUGUAUGGGCGGACUCCGUUCGCAGAUUACAAAACAUUCUGGGCCAAGUUCAAAGUUAUAACAGAUCCAUACCAUGAAAUUGUGUAUGAACCAGUUUCAAAUCCUUGGCUUCUUGAUCUCAUGAAAAAUUGUCUUGCAUGGGAUCGCAAUGAAAGGUGGAGAAUUCCCCAGUUGCUGCAGCAUCCUUUUCUUGUUCCUCCAAUUCCACUUAAACCACAUUUGCCCCAAGACCAAUGUAGACUUCUUCAUCUUAUUUCCAGCACUUGUACAGAGGACGCUGAAGCUUCAAACCUAUGUUCUCAGUUACAGCAACUUCUGGGGGAGGACCCAGACUGGUUAAUGACAUCUCAGCUAUUGGCCUCACCUGACAAACAGUGUAAGUUGCUCUCCCAAAUAUCACAACUUUUCUCUCAGCUAGAAAAACAGUUGUCAAACUCACUGGCGACAGGAUUAGAUAGAUGAAUAUCAAAACAUGGUGCUCAAAACUCUGCUUCAACAACUUGCAACUCACCACAAAAUUCUCAGGUCUGAGCUCAAUGCAAAGUGACAAUUCUGGCAUAGGUUGGUUUUUGAUCUCUGAUCAUGCACACUGGUAUUUUGUAUCUUCUCAUCAAGGUCUUUUGACUGUGGUACAACCGAGCCGCCUAGGACGUAUAAGCCUGGGUUGUGGCUCAGGUGUGGGUUGGUACCAGGAUGGUUGGAAGGGCUUGUCAUGGAUGGCUUUCAAGGACAAGGUGGCUUUUGUUAAGCUAUAUGUGGCUUCAGUUGUGACGCUUUGUUUAGAGAUUUGUUAUUUCAUGACAUUGUUCUUACUGGACAGCUUGAGAAUCCUAUCAUUAUCAUGCUUUCAAAAAAAAUAUAUAUAUAGAGUUUAUAAUGUCUUUUUCUGUAGUUGCCAAAUAUUUUUUCUUAUUAUUAUUAUCCCUGAGAUAUUUA